rnacentral:rRNA from 1 species
AGGACGAACGCUGGCGGCGUGCUUAACACAUGCAAGUCGAGCGAGGCCCUUCCUUCGGGAAGGUGCCCUAGCGGCGAACGGGUGAGUAACACGUGGGCAACCUGCCCCUAGCACUGGGAUAACUCCGGGAAACCGGGGCUAAUACCAGAUAUGACCUUUGAGGGCAUCCUCGAAGGUGUAAAGGAUUCUGGCUAGGGGAUGGGCCCGCGGCCUAUCAGCUUGUUGGUGGGGUAAUGGCCUACCAAGGCGACGACGGGUAGCCGGCCUGAGAGGGCGACCGGCCACACUGGGACUGAGACACGGCCCAGACUCCUACGGGAGGCAGCAGUGGGGAAUAUUGCACAAUGGGCGAAAGCCUGAUGCAGCGACGCCGCGUGAGGGAUGACGGCCUUCGGGUUGUAAACCUCUUUCAGCAGGGACGAAGCGAAAGUGACGGUACCUGCAGAAGAAGCACCGGCCAACUACGCGCAGCAGCCGC